GAUGAACGCUGGCGGCGUGCCUAAUACAUGCAAGUCGAGCGAAGAGGGGACGGGUGAGUAAUACGUGGAUAAACUCAUAUAAGACUGGGAUAACUUAGGGGAACCGGAGCUAAAUCGGAUACUUAUAGAUGGUACAGCGUUGAAUUAGCUAGUUGGUAAGGUAACGGCUUACAAAGGAUACGAUGCAUAGCAGACCAGAGAGGGUGAGCAGUCACACUGGAACGGAGACACGGUCCAGACUCCUACGGGAGGCAGAAGUGGGGAAUCUUCCACAAUGGGCGAAAGCCUGACGGAGCAACGCCGCGUGGGUGAAGAAGGUCUUCGGAUCGUAAAGCUCUGUUAUUCGGGAAGCGUUACCUAAUCAGAAAGCACCGGCUAACUACGUGCCAGCAGCCGCGGUAAUUC
rnacentral:rRNA from 1 species